GGAUGCGAGGGCGACCUGGCUGGAACCUCUGUCACCCCAUUGAUCACCAGGGUUGAUUCUACUGAGCUGGCGGGGUAGGCGGGUGUUCCCUUCCUCCCUCACCGCACCAUGAGGGUCCCUCCCGAAGCUGUGCGCUCGGUCGAAGAGGACGACCACCCCCGAUAGAGGAGGACCGUUCCUCGGUCAAGGGUAAAGGACAGUAGCUGCACUUCCCUGCUAGAACCUCCAAACAAGCUCUCGAGAUGGUAAAGUAUGGCAAAAGGACAGAUGUACAUAUCAAUGGACUAGAGUCCAGAGGUAGAUCAAUAUCCAU
rfam:Heterocephalus glaber contig111801, whole genome shotgun sequence.